rnacentral:rRNA from 1 species
AUUGAACGCUGGCGGCAGGCCUAACACAUGCAAGUCGAACGAGUGGCGGACGGGUGAGUAAGAUCUGGGAACCUGCCUGAUGGACGGGGAACAGUACUGUAAACGGUCGCAAAUACCACAAAACCGCAGAUGGGCCCAGAUGGGAUUAGCUAGCUGGUGGGGUAACGGCAUACCAGGGCGACAAUCCCUCGCUGGUCUGAGAGGAUGACCAGCCACACUGGAACUUAGACACGGUCCAGACUCCUACGGGAGUCAGCAGUGGGGAAUAUUGCACAAGGGGCGCAAGCCUGAUGCAGCCAUGCCGCGUGUAUGAAGAAGGCCUUAGGGUUGUAAAGUACUUUCAGUGGGGAGGCGUUACCCACAGAGGAAGCACCGGCUAACUCCGUGCCAGCAGCCGCGGUAAUAC